GAUGAACGCUAGCUACAGGCUUAACACAUGCAAGUCGAGGGGAAACGGCAUUAAGUGCUUGCACUUUUUGGACGUCGACCGGCGCACGGGUGAGUAACGCGUAUCCAACCUUCCCAUGACUAAGGGAUAACCUGCCGAAAGGCAGACUAAUACCUUAUGGUCUUCACUGACGGCAUCAGAUGUGAAGUAAAGAUUUAUCGGUUAUGGAUGGGGAUGCGUCUGAUUAGCUUGUUGGCGGGGUAACGGCCCACCAAGGCAACGAUCAGUAGGGGUUCUGAGAGGAAGGUCCCCCACAUUGGAACAGAGACACGGUCCAAACUCCUACGGGAGGCAGCAGUGAGGAAUAUUGGUCAAUGGGCGAGAGCCUGAACCAGCCAAGUAGCGUGCAGGAUGACGGCCCUAUGGGUUGUAAACUGCUUUUGUAUGGGGAUAAAGUCAAUCACGUGUGAUUGUUUGCAGGUACCAUACGAAUAAGGACCGGCUAAUUCCGU
rnacentral:rRNA from 1 species